CUGUUAUCAGCAAGGAGACGCUGGGGAGAUGAAAGCAGUCUCAAUCAACAAACUAUGUUGAUUGAUUAACUGCCGUGCAGGCCAAAAGGAAGACAUACCAGCAAGGACAGGACGAGCCACGUCAAGACGCAACAGACUUUUCAUGGAGAAGACCAAGCCAGAUGGUACAAGCAGCUCCAUGGAAAGAGCCAACUGGAUGGUGGGGGGAGCCUGAAACAUUGAUGUGUCAGAUAUGCUCCUGACUAAAACUUUACUGUUUGGGUCUACUGGACUGUCUAAAGAGACCUUAAUGGCUUCAGAAGACACCCUGAUAUGAAGAACAAAUUGCUACAAAAAAGGAUACAAUGUAUCAAUAUUAAAUAAAUAGCUCAAAACUAAAAAAUCUAGACAGGAGGGAACUCACGGAGUAUAAAAGAAGGGAUAAUCCUAAAGAACUUCCUCUAUAUUUUAUAAGUCAAUUUGGUAGGAACCACAAAGAAAUAGAAAAGAUCCUGAACAACCAUUGGCACUUACUGCAACUCGAUGAAGAAUUGAAGAAGAAAAGUAAUAUACAAAAAAACAAAUAAAAUGAAAACAACUAACCAGCAAUUUUCUAAGUAGAAGCUGCACAGCAAAGUAAAGGAUUUCAUUACUGCACAACCUGCCUAGGUUGUAGAAACAAGAAAUCAGGAACUAAAUAAAAAAACACUUUCAAAUCACAUGUAAAAAGGAAGUAAAAAAUCAUCUGUUUUGUCACACUGAAGCUGUGAUCUACUUAUUGGAAUGCAUGUGUGGCACCCGUCAAUCAAACAGAAAAAAAAAACUAAAAAUAAGGAUAGCAGAACAUAUCUACAAUAUCAAGAGAGGAUUGAAAACACACAGCCCCUGCUCAUUUUUCAGAAAAACAUAACACAGAUCCACAAGGACUUACUUUAACUGGCAUCCAAAAGGUGACACCCCAAUGGAGGGGAGGGGAUCUAGUCACCUCUCUAAGAAUAAUAGAAACAGAGUGGAUCUAUAAAUUAAAAACAUUGGAGCGAUAUGGCCUGAAUAUUGAAAUUGAUUUAAAUGUCUGUAAUGACUCUGCUAGCUAUUAUGUUCUUGCCUGCAGUACCUCUGGGCUGCCAGGGGUGCUGCUAUUAUGUUCUUGCCUGCAGUACCUCUGGGCUACCAGGGGUGCUGUUAUUAUGUUCUUGCCUGCAGUACCUCUGUGCUGCCAGGGGUGCUGCUAUUAUGUUUUUGCCUGCAGGUCUCUGGGCUGCCAGGGGUGCUGCUAUUGUUUCUUUGACCUGCAGUACCUCUGAGAUGUCAGAGAAGGUACUGUUGUUUGAAGAGCAGUCCCAACUGGGGUAAUCAGGUGGAACAUGCUGCUUUCUCCUAAUUACUUUGCAGCGCAUUGAUGUUUGGGGCCUGUCAUUGUGAUUGGCCCUGAUUUAUGUUAAAGGUUAGUGAGCCCUGAGAGUCAGGGCCAGUUAUAGUUUUGUUUCUGCCACUGUAAGUUCUUAGUUUAGUUUCAAGUCUGGAUUCCUGAGUCUCCCAAUUUAGUCUUUUCUUCAAUCUGCACUUGUUCCCAGAGACCCCACUUAUUAGUACCCAGGUUUCUUUUGUAUUUUUUCCACAAGUACCUUUGUUUAUUCUGCCGGAUUUAAUUAAUGCAGAGUUUUUU